CAUCAGCCCUCUGCCCUAACAAAUGUUGAAAGUGUUUGAAAUAUUCCUCAAGCACCUUUUAGGUGCUAGAUGCCUUCCAUGAAGCAUUCCUGUGAAAUCAGCCAACAGACUCUUGGUUUCAAGGACUUUCUGAAGCUCAGCUCCUUUCAGGAUACAGACUAAGAAGUGGGAGAGUGUGUUCGAGCAACACGACAGCCAAAAGAUGGAAGCCACCCAGUAUGCAUCAGCAGAUAAAUGGAUAAACAAA